AAUAAUGUGUCCGAUUAGGUAAUAAAUUGUAAAUUUAUUUAUAGAUUUAAAAUUCUCAUUAUUA
rnacentral:tRNA from 2 species